rnacentral:rRNA from 1 species
UCCAGACUCCUACGGGAGGCAGCAGUGGGGAAUAUUGCACAAUGGGGGAAACCCUGAUGCAGCGACGCCGCGUGGGUGAAGAAGUAUUUCGGUAUGUAAAGCCCUAUCAGCAGGGAAGAAGAAUGACGGUACCUGACUAAGAAGCACCGGCUAAAUACGUGCCAGCAGCCGCGGUAAUACGUAGGGGGCAAGCGUUAUCCGGAUUUACUGGGUGUAAAGGGAGCGUAGACGGCUGCGCAAGUCUGAAGUGAAAGCCCGGGGCUCAACCCCGGGACUGCUUUGGAAACUGUGUAGCUAGAGUGCUGGAGAGGCAAGCGGAAUUCCUAGUGUAGCGGUGAAAUGCGUAGAUAUUAGGAGGAACACCAGUUGCGAAGGCGGCUCUCUGGACUGUAACUGACACUGAGGCACGAAAGCGUGGGGAGCAAACAGGAUUAGAUACCCGGGUAGGC